AUUGAACGCUGGCGGCAGGCCUAACACAUGCAAGUCGAGCGGAUGAGUGGAGCUUGCUCCAUGAUUCAGCGGCGGACGGGUGAGUAAUGCCUAGGAAUCUGCCUGGUAGUGGGGGACAACGUUUCGAAAGGAACGCUAAUACCGCAUACGUCCUACGGGAGAAAGCAGGGGACCUUCGGGCCUUGCGCUAUCAGAUGAGCCUAGGUCGGAUUAGCUAGUAGGUGAGGUAAUGGCUCACCUAGGCGACGAUCCGUAACUGGUCUGAGAGGAUGAUCAGCCACACUGGGACUGAGACACGGCCCAGACUCCUACGGGAGGCAGCAGUGGGGAAUAUUGGACAAUGGGCGAAGCCUGAUCCAGCAAUGCCGCGUGAGUGAUGAAGGCCUUAGGGUUGUAAAGCGUCUUUUUACCCGGGAAGAUAAUGACUGUACC
rnacentral:rRNA from 1 species